AUUGAACGCUGGCGGCAGGCCUAACACAUGCAAGUCGAACGCGUGGCGGACGGGUGAGUCAUGUCUGUGAACCUCCCUGAUGGAGGGGGAUAACUACUGGAAACGGUAGCUAUUACCGCAUACCAUCAGAUGUGCCCAGAUGGGUUUAGCUAGUUGGUGGGGUAACGGCUAACAAAGGCGACGAUCCCUAGCUGGUCGGAGAGGAUGACCAGCCACACUGGAACGGAGACACGGGCCAGACUCCUACGGGAGGCAGCAGUGGGGAAUAUUGCACAAUGGGCGCAAGCCUGAUGCAGCCAUGCCGCGUGUAUGAAGAAGGCCUUCGGGUUGUAAAGUUCUUUCAGCGGGGAGGCGGUACCCGAAGAAGAAGCACCGGCUAACUCCGUGCCAGCAGCCGCGGUAAUAC
rnacentral:rRNA from 1 species